UACGUAGGGGGCAAGCGUUGUCCGGAUUUAUUGGGCGUAAAGAGCGUGUAGGCGGCUAGAUAGGUCCGUUGUGAAAACUCGAGGCUCAACCUCGAGACGUCGAUGGAAACCAUCUGGCUAGAGUCCGGAAGAGGAGAGUGGAAUUCCUGGUGUAGCGGUGAAAUGCGCAGAUAUCAGGAAGAACACCCGUGGCGAAGGCGGCUCUCUGGGCCUUACCUGACGCUCAGGUGCGAAAGCAUGGGGAGCGAACAGG
rnacentral:rRNA from 1 species